GGGAAUGUGGCUCAGUGCUAGAGUACUUGCCUUGUAUACAUGAGGCCUUAGGUUCGAUUCCUCAGCACCA
rnacentral:tRNA from 1 species